GCCGAGAUAGCUCAGUUGGGAGAGCAACAGACUGAAGUUCAACCAGGUUCCUGGAUCUGAAUUCUGGAGGUCGGGCGUUCAAUCCGCCCUCUUGGCA